UGGGGUAUAGCCAAGCGGUAAGGCAACUGGCUCUGAACCAGUCAUUUCGGGAGUUCGAAUCUCUCUACCCCAGCCA
rnacentral:tRNA from 1 species